rnacentral:rRNA from 1 species
UUUUAGUUUGACCCCCCGAAACUAAGUGAGCUACUUCGAAACAGCCCAAAGAGCUAACCCGUCUCUGUUGCAAAAGAGUGGAAUGAUUUCCAAGUAGAAGUGACAAACUUACCGCACUUAGAGAUAGCUGGUUAUUCAAGAAAAGAAUAUAAGUUCAACCUUAAGUCUACCUAUUUUACAAUAAAACUUUAUUAAACUUAAGAGUUAUUCGAAUAAGGCACAGCUUAUUCGAAACAGGAUACAACCUACAACAUCGGGUAACAUCACAACCUUCUCCACAAGUGGGCCUAAAAGCAGCCACCUUUUAAAAAGCGUUAAAGCUUAAUACAAUAUCAAUGAUAAUGCCUCCACCAACCUCUAACCCAUAAAUAAUAUUGAAUAACUCCAUAAAAAUAUGGAAGAUAUAAUGCUAGAACUAGUAAUUAGAAAUAGACUUUCUCCAAAAUGUAAGCUUAAGCCGCACUAGACCAACUACCGGCAAUUAACGCAAAUGAACCUGUCAUAAUAACUCUACUAGAAAACACUAUGCACUCCAACGUCAACCUUACACCAGAACAUUUACGGAAAGAUUAAAAGAGAGAGAAGGAACUCGGCAAACUACAGCCCCGCCUGGUUACCAAAAACAUCGCCUCUUGAUGAAACAUAAGAGGUCCAGCCUGCCCAGUGACANNNUUUAACGGCCGCGGUACCCUAACCGCGCGAAGGUAGCAUAAUCACUUGUUCUUUAAAUGAGGACUAGUAUCAACGGCACCACGAGGGCCCAACUGUCUCCUCCCUCCAAUCAAUGAAACUGAUCUCUCCGUGAAGAAGCGGAGAUUCAACUAUAAGACGAGAAGACCCCAUGGAGCUUUAAACCUGACUUCAUCCUUAUUAACUAUAUACCCUUAAUCAACAGGACCCUGUCUGUCAGUUUUAGGUUGGGGUGACCACGGAGCAAAAACAAACCUCCAUGAUGAACUGGACUAACCCACUAUCCAAGAAAAACACCUCAAAGAAUUAGCACACUAACAUAAAAUGAUCCGACACUCGAUCAACGAACCAAGUUACCCUGGGGAUAACAGCGCAAUCUACUUCAAGAGCCCAUAUCGACAAGUAGGUUUACGACCUCGAUGUUGGAUCAGGGUAUCCUAGUGGUGCAGCAG